UAGGGAAUCUUCCACAAUGGGCGCAAGCCUGAUGGAGCAACGCCGCGUGAGUGAAGAAGGUCUUCGGAUCGUAAAACUCUGUUGUUAGAGAAGAACAUGCAGGAGAGUAACUGUUCUUGUAUUGACGGUAUCUAACCAGAAAGCCACGGCUAACUACCUGCCAG
rnacentral:rRNA from 1 species